rnacentral:rRNA from 1 species
UACGGAGGGUGCGAGCGUUGUCCGGAAUCAUUGGGCGUAAAGAGCGUGUAGGCGGCUCGGUAAGUCCGCUGUGAAAGUCGGGGGCUCAACCCUCGAAUGCCGGUGGAUACUGUCGAGCUAGAGUGCGGAAGAGGCGAGUGGAAUUCCUGGUGUAGCGGUGAAAUGCGCAGAUAUCAGGAGGAACACCGAUUGCGAAGGCAGCUCGCUGGGACGUUACUGACGCUGGAGACGCGAAAGCGUGGGGAGCAAACAGG